CAUUCCUCUUCCUGCAAGCUCUCUCCUCCUCCUAUGUCUUCUCCCUUUCCAUUCUUCACACUGAACCAUUAAAUUCUCGAUUAGGUGCUGCCCCAACGAUCACAAAGUAGCGGGUAUUGCUCUUAGUCGAUCCAUUUUCUCUAAUCUGAACCGGUGAUUCUAACAUUUUGAAAGUGCAAGCAAGUGGUCUAGGGUUCCUACUUGAGCUGGGUUGUCUACACUAGAGUAGGUGAUGAUGUACCUUUGGAGCAAGCUUUGGAAGUUGAGGAAGACCCAGCACCUAGUGCUUAGGAUUUCUACUAGCUCUUAUGUUAAAUAGCUCUUCAUUUUUUAAAGACUUCUAGACUUCAUUUUAUCAUGAUCCGUCUUUUGGAAAA